rnacentral:rRNA from 1 species
UACGUAGGCAGCAAGCGUUGUUCGGAAUUACUGGGCGUAAAGGGCGUGUAGGCGGUCCGCUAAGUCUGAUGUGAAAGCCCGGGGCUCACCCCCGGAAGUGCAUUGGAAACUGGCGGACUCGAGUCCCGGAGAGGAGAGUGGAAUUCCUGGUGUAGCGGUGAAAUGCGUAGAUAUCAGGAGGAACACCGGUGGCGAAGGCGGCUCGCUGGGACGGUACUGACGCUGAGGCGCGAAAGCGUGGGGAGCGAACAGG